AUGGCCUGUAUGGUGCUUCUUCUUGGGCUCCUCACUUAUGCCUCAGGAGCAGAUUCUCAGAAUGUGGUGACCCCAGAGCCAUCACUAACGAUUUUUCCAGGAGGGACAGUCACACUUACCUGUGCCCUUAGUUCUGGUUCAGUCUCGACAGGUCACUACCCAAGCUGGUACCAGCAGACCCCAGGCCAGCAUCCUCACAUGAUUAUCUACCACACAGAAAGCCACCCCUCAGGGGUCACUGACCUCUUCUCUAGAGCCAUCUCUGGUGACAAAUCCACCCUCACCAUCACAGGGGCCCAGCCUGAGGAUGAGGCUGACUAUUACUGUGUUCUGUAUUUUGAUGGUUAUACUUACACAGUGAUUUAA